rnacentral:rRNA from 1 species
GAUGAACGCUGGCGGCGUGCUUAAUACAUGCAAGUCGAACGGAGACAAUAGCAAUAUUGCCUUAGUGGCGAACGGGUGAGUAACGCGUUGGUGACCUGCCCCGAAGAGGGGGAUAACAGUCCGAAAGGAUUGCUAAUACCCCAUGUGGUCAUAUGGAUUAGAUGCCUAAUGACUAAACGGAUUUAUUCGCUUCGGGAGGGGCCUGCGUCCCAUCAGCUAGUUGGUAAGGUAAUGGCUUACCAAGGCGAUGACGGGUAGGGGACCUGAGAGGGUGGCCCCCCACCAAUGGAACUGAAACACGGUCCAUACACCUACGGGUGGCAGCAGUAGGGAAUAUUGGUAAUCUGGGAAACCGGGAACCAGCAACGCCGCGUGCACGAUGAAGGCCUUCGGGUCGUAAAGUGCUUUUUGAAGGGAUGAGGAAGGACAGUACCUUCAGAAUAAGCCUCGGCUAACUACGUG